GACGAACGCUGGCGGCGUGCUUAACACAUGCAAGUCGAACGGAAAGGCCCUGCUUUUGUGGGGUGCUCGAGUGGCGAACGGGUGGGUAACACGUGAGUAACCUGCCCUUGACUUUGGGAUAACUUCAGGAAACUGGGGCUAAUACCGGAUAGGAGCUCCUGCUGCAUGGUGGGGGUUGGAAAGUUUCGGCGGUUGGGGAUGGACUCGCGGCUUAUCAGCUUGUUGGUGGGGUAGUGGCUUACCAAGGCUUUGACGGGUAGCCGGCCUGAGAGGGUGACCGGCCACAUUGGGACUGAGAUACGGCCCAGACUCCUACGGGAGGCAGCAGUGGGGAAUAUUGCACAAUGGGCGGAAGCCUGAUGCAGCAACGCCGCGUGCGGGAUGACGGCCUUCGGGUUGUAAACCGCUUUCGCCUGUGACGAAGCGUGAGUGACGGUAAUGGGUAAAGAAGCACCGGCCAACUACGU
rnacentral:rRNA from 1 species